rnacentral:misc_RNA from 1 species
AAGUCGUAACAAGGUUUCCGUAGGUGAACCUGCGGAAGGAUCAUUAUCAUAACGUAUCCACGUAUAAACCAAACUUAAAACUCAAUAUGUAACAGUAUUGGGUUUUUGUGUGAAUUGUAAUGUUUUGCCUUUGAUAGUUAGUGAUUGCUAUCUAGUUUCUAUGAUUAAAGGAGACUUGAUAGACUUGGCUUUUUCGGAAGCCUAGCACUAAUUAUUAAAGUGUAUUUUUAAUCAUCUUAUUAACCAAUUGAACCGAUUAACUUUAAGUAGUUAUUCAUUUUAUUUUAUUGUGAACUGAAUUGUUUCUUACUCAGUAGUAAAAUAUUGAGAAGAAAUCAUAUUUACGAAACAUAAAUUAUGAACAACUCUUAGCAACGGAUAUCUUGGUUCUC